rnacentral:misc_RNA from 1 species
AAGACUAUAGACCUGCGGAGUACCUGCGGAAGGAUCAUUACAAAUCUUUGCGAGUCUACGUGCUUAACCGUGCGUAGUUAACUCACAUUAGCACAAGGUCGCAAGGCCUUGAUGUUUACGCUUGUUUGUUUGACAGAGUUAGUUGAGACAAUAAAAAAGACAACUUUCAACAAUGGAUCUCU